UCCAGGCAAAUCCGGAUAAUCAAGGCUGAGGUGUGAUGACGAGGCACUACGGUGCUGAAGUAACAAAUGCCCUGCUUCCAGGAAAAGCCUCUAAGCAUCAGGUAACAUCAAAUCGUACCCCAAACCGACACAGGUGGUCAGGUAGAGAAUACCAAGGCGCUUGAGAGAACUCGGGUGAAGGAACUAGGCAAAAUGGUGCCGUAACUUCGGGAGAAGGCACGCUGGUGUGUAGGUGA
rnacentral:rRNA from 1 species